AAUGAACGUUGGCGGCGUGGAUUAGGCAUGCAAGUCGUACGCCCCGCAAGGGGCGUGGCGUAAGGGUGAGUAAGGCGACGGUAACCAACCUCGAAGACGGGGAUAGCCGCGGGAAACUGCGGGUAAUAUCCGGCGUGGUCCCGGGAAGGCAUCCCCCUGGGAUUAAAGGUGUGAAUCCGCUUCGAGACGGGCCGUUGUGGUAUCAGGUAGUUGGCGGGGUAAUGGCCCACCAAGCCUUUGACGCCUACCGGGCGUGCGAGCGUGGCCCGGCACACUGGGACUGAGACACUGCCCAGACACCUACGGGUGGCUGCAGUCGAGAAUCUUCGGCAAUGGGCGCAAGCCUGACCGAGCGACGCCGCGUGGAGGAUGAAGGCCUUCGGGUUGUAAACUCCUGUCGAGGGGGACCAAGGAGCCGUGCAGAACGGUUCUUGAGAGAUCCCUGGAGGAAGCACGGGCUAAGUUCGUGCCAGCCGCCGCAGUAAUAC
rnacentral:rRNA from 1 species